rnacentral:ncRNA from 1 species
GACUCGACGAUGACAGGGAAAGUAGUCUGAAUGAACCCUUUACGAAGCGAACCGGGGAUGGUGGGAGCCCGGCUAAAGAAUUCAGAUGAAGAUCACCCUUGAGUUCCUUCCUGAAAUGAACGAGUAAGGAGGGCGCCUCAUUCCCGAUAAGAAUGCUUAAGUGGAUGUGUUUUUGCAUCUAUAAGGGUGGUACCGCGUGAAGCAAGCCUUCUCGUCCCUUUC